rnacentral:sRNA from 1 species
GCUAUGUGUGGUGGCGCAUGUCUGUAAUCCCAGAGACUUGGGAAGCUGAGGCAGGAGGAUCGCAAGUUUGAGACCAGCCUCAGCAAUUUAGCGAGACCCUAAGCAACUAAGUGAGACCCUGUCUCAA